AGAGUUUGAUUAUGGCUCAGGACGAACGCUGGCGGCGUGCUUAACACAUGCAAGUCGAACGGAAAGGCCCUGCUUGCAGGGUACUCGAGUGGCGAACGGGUGAGUAACACGUGGGUGAUCUGCCCUGCACUUCGGGAUAAGCCUGGGAAACUGGGUCUAAUACCGGAUAGGAGCCAUUUUUAGUGUGAUGGUUGGAAAGUUUUUUCGGUGUAGGAUGAGCUCGCGGCCUAUCAGCUUGUUGGUGGGGUAAUGGCCUACCAAGGCGGCGACGGGUAGCCGGCCUGAGAGGGUGGACGGCCACAUUGGGACUGAGAUACGGCCCAGACUCCUACGGGAGGCAGCAGUGGGGAAUAUUGCACAAUGGGCGCAAGCCUGAUGCAGCGACGCCGCGUGGGGGAUGACGGCCUUCGGGUUGUAAACUCCUUUCGCUAGGGACGAAGCUUUUUGUGACGGUACCUAGAUAAGAAGCACCGGCUAACUACGUGCCAGCAGCCGCGGUAAUACGUAGGGUGCGAGCGUUGUCCGGAAUUACUGGGCGUAAAGGGCUCGUAGGUGGUUUGUCGCGUCGUCUGUGAAAUUCCGGGGCUUAACUCCGGGCGUGCGGGCGAUACGGGCAUAACUUGAGUACUGUAGGGGUAACUGGAAUUCCUGGUGUAGCGGUGAAAUGCGCAGAUAUCAGGAGGAACACCGAUGGCGAAGGCAGGUUACUGGGCAGUUACUGACGCUGAGGAGCGAAAGCAUGGGUAGCGAACAGGAUUAGAUACCCUGGUAGUCCAUGCCGUAAACGGUGGGCGCUAGGUGUGAGGGUCUUUUCACGACUUUCGUGCCGUAGCUAACGCAUUAAGCGCCCCGCCUGGGGAGUACGGCCGCAAGGCUAAAACUCAAAUGAAUUGACGGGG
rnacentral:rRNA from 1 species